CAAACUUGAUGGUGUUUAUGACGUCGAAUAUCGACGUCAUAAAUACCAAACAUGAUGGUGUUUAUGACGUCGAUAUUCGACGUCAUAAACACCAAAC
rnacentral:miRNA from 1 species